rnacentral:rRNA from 1 species
AGUGAACGCUGGCGGUAGGCCUAACACAUGCAAGUCGAACGGCAGCACAGUAAGAGCUUGCUCUUACGGGUGGCGAGUGGCGGACGGGUGAGGAAUACAUCGGAAUCUACUUUUUCGUGGGGGAUAACGUAGGGAAACUUACGCUAAUACCGCAUACGACCUACGGGUGAAAGCAGGGGAUCUUCGGACCUUGCGCGAUUGAAUGAGCCGAUGUCGGAUUAGCUAGUUGGCGGGGUAAAGGCCCACCAAGGCGACGAUCCGUAGCUGGUCUGAGAGGAUGAUCAGCCACACUGGAACUGAGACACGGUCCAGACUCCUACGGGAGGCAGCAGUGGGGAGUAUUGGACAAUGGGCGCAAGCCUGAUCCAGCCAUACCGCGUGGGUGAAGAAGGCCUUCGGGUUGUAAAGCCCUUUUGUUGGGAAAGAAAAGCAGCAGGUUAAUACCCCGCUGUUCUGACGGUACCCAAAGAAUAAGCACCGGCUAACUUCG